rnacentral:tRNA from 1 species
GUCCCCAUCGUCUAGCCGGUUCAGGACGGUAGCCUCUCACGCUGCAAAGGAGGGUUCAAACCCCUCUGGGGACGCCA